AAUAGAGUGAUACAUAGGUGAUUAGAGGUGGGUAAUAUGGACGCGGAGAUGGUGUUGGGUUUGUUGAGUUAUAUGGGCGUUUGAGUCAGUGGUAGGGUUAAUCUAUAACCUGGACAAUGAUUAUGCUAUGACAUGAGAUUUCAAUCUCUAUUGUCAUGGUUGUUGCUUCAUAGGCUUCACUGAAGCCCAUGCCGAGGAAGGACUAGCUCCACUUAAGGAGAGGAGAGAAGUAGAAAAAGAGUUAGGAGAAGAGAAGAAGAGAGAGAAGAGUGAUGGAGGGGGAAAAGGGAAGAAUAUGAAGGAAAAAAAGGAGAGAGAGAGAGGGAAGAAGAAAGAGAUAUAUAGGGAUAGAGGGAUAGUACAUAGAGGGAGUUU
rnacentral:lncRNA from 1 species